CCAGACUCCUACGGGAGGCAGCAGUGAGGAAUAUUGGUCAAUGGGCGCGAGCCUGAACCAGCCAAGUCGCGUGAGGGAUGACGGUCCUACGGAUUGUAAACCUCUUUUGCCGGGGAGCAAGCGUGCGUUCGUGAACGCGCGUCGAGAGUACCCGGAGAAAAAGCAUCGGCUAACUCCGUGCCAGCAGCCGCGGUAAUACGGAGGAUGCGAGCGUUAUCCGGAUUUAUUGGGUUUAAAGGGUGCGUAGGCGGAAGGUUAAGUCAGGGGUGAAAUGUCGGGGCUCAACACCGGCCUGCCGUUGAAACUGGUCUUCUUGAGUGAGCGAGAAGUAUGCGGAAUGCGUGGUGUAGCGGUGAAAUGCAUAGAUAUCACGCAGAACUCCGAUUGCGAAGGCGGCAUACCGGCGCUCAACUGACGCUGAGGCACGAAAGCGUGGGGAUCGAACAGGAUUAGAUACCCUGGUAAA
rnacentral:rRNA from 1 species